GGAGAUGUGGCUAAAUGGUAGAGUGCUUGCCUGGAAAGAAUGACGCCCUUGUGUUCAAUUCUCAACACUACCA
rnacentral:tRNA from 1 species